AACUCUAAGCCUUCCUCACCCCCUCUACAAUAAUUAGACCUCAUUACCACAACACUUCCUACCUGAAUCCUUACUUCUAAAUGAACCCAUUUCACAUUCCUCUUCAACUCCCUCAUCUCCAUCAUAUUAUGACCUUUCCUAUGAUGAUGAUCAGACAAAUAUUCACGAUCCUUCAUCUCCAACCCUGGCUCAACUCCAAGACACAAUAACCUCUGAACAGAACUUGUAUGUCCCAGAUACCUCUGAACCUACGCCAUCUUAUCCGCACCUCCUUCAUCACCUUCGUUAAC
rnacentral:lncRNA from 1 species